UACGUAGGGUGCAAGCGUUAAUCGGAAUUACUGGGCGUAAAGCGUGCGUAGUCGGUUAUCUAAGUCGGGUGUGAAAUCCCCGGGCUCAACCUGGGAAUUGCAUUCGAUACUGGAUAGCUAGAGUUCGGCAGAGGGAAGCGGAAUUUCGGGUGUAGCGGUGAAAUGCGUAGAUAUCCGAAGGAACAUCAGUGGCGAAGGCGGCUUCCUGGACCAGAACUGACGAUCAGGCACGAAAGCGUGGGGAGCAAACAGG
rnacentral:rRNA from 1 species